AGAGAGAGACAUGCGCGCAUAUCAAUAAGCGGAGGAAAAGAAACUAACAAGGAUUCCCUUAGUAACGGCGAGUGAAGCGGGAAGAGCUCAAAUUUGAAAUCUUCAAGGUUUUACCUUGACGAAUUGUAGUUUAAAGAAGUGUUUUCUGCUGAAGUUUUGGUAAAAGUUCUUUGGAAUAGGACAUCAUAGAGGGUGAGAAUCCCGUAUUUGACCAUUAUUUUCAGCUUUGUGAUACACUUUCAAAGAGUCGGAUUGUUUGGGAAUGCAGUCCAAAAUGGGUGGUAAAUUUCAUCUAAAGCUAAAUAUUGGCGAGAGACCGAUAGCGAACAAGUACCGUGAGGGAAAGAUGAAAAGAACUUUGAAAAGAGAGUUAAACAGUACGUGAAAUUGUCAAAAGGGAAGCGUUUGACACCAGUGUUGUUUUCUCGAAAAUCAAUUAAAAAUGGCUCGAUUUUGUAUUGCUUGAGACCUUAAAAGCUCACUGUACAUUUUUCGUGUCUUUUUUAAUGCACUUUUCGUUUAACAAGUCAACAUCAGUUUCUUUUGUUGUAAAAGGGUCAUUGGAAGGUGGCUUUCUUUUCGGAGAAAGUGUUUAUAGCCUUUGGCCUCUGCAAUCGGAGAGACUGAGGUCUGCAGCGUAGACUCUUCGGGGUUAGAUACAUUUGUGCUAAGUUAUAGCUUUUUAUAGACAACUUGUUGACUAUAAUUAGUCUUGUAGGCUUACUCGCUUAUGCUAUUUUACCUACGCUUAGGAUGUUGAAGAUGUAGCACAUCAU
rnacentral:rRNA from 1 species